rnacentral:rRNA from 1 species
AGCGAACGCUGGCGGCAGGCUUAACACAUGCAAGUCGAGCGCCGUAGCAAUACGGAGCGGCAGACGGGUGAGUAACGCGUGGGAACGUACCUUCUGGUUCGGAAUAACUCAGGGAAACUUGAGCUAAUACCGGAUAAGCCCUUCGGGGAAGAUUAUCGCCGGAAGAUCGGCCCGCGUAAGAUUAGCUAGUUGGUGAGGUAAUGGCUCACCAAGGCUACGAUCUUUAGCUGGUCUGAGAGGAUGAUCAGCCACAUUGGGACUGAGACACGGCCCAAACUCCUACGGGAGGCAGCAGUGGGGAAUAUUGGACAAUGGGCGCAAGCCUGAUCCAGCCAUGCCGCGUGAGUGAUGAAGG